UACUAAAUGGAAGCACCGAGCGUCUCCCCAUUGCCAACAUAAGGGGGCUGGACAACUUCUGGUUCCUGACAAGAUGGUGAACAAUUGUGGGCUGCUGGCUCCCUGCCCUGAACCAAACCUAGAGAUGCCACGGAAGAGAGACGGAGGUGGACGGGCCUGGCCAGCUUUGAGGGGAGCAGUGGAAAUUAAGAAGACAGAGAGCAAAGAGAACAGCAUAGCAAACAGUUGUGUGGCCACCAUCUCAAACCGACAAGUUUUCAUGUUUCAUCACAGUUGCUUGACAUUUUUAUAAAAGGAACGCAAUAUUACAGAUAAGGCUGCCUCCCUGUUCUCGUUCUCAGGGCACUCUCCCCGCAGGUACCAUGAAUUUCACCCCCCUGAAUCUGGCGUGGGUUUCUCCAGUCCACUGUUUUCAUGUUUACACCUACAGAAAGAGAUAUCUAUGAAUAAUUCAUAGUGUUGUUUGCAGUAUGUUUUUAAACAUUUCAUAAAUGAUAUUACACAGUGAGCUUGUUUUGCACUCAACAUAAUGUUUUUGAGAUGUAACCAUGUUGAUAUAUGUGUGUGUGUGUGUGUGUACUUAAGUUGUUUCCAAUUUAUUUUCCUAUUAUAAUGCCACAAUUAUGUAUGAGUCUCUUUAGAUAAUAGAUCUAGAAGUGGAAUAGCCGAGUCUUUGUGAAUAUGCAUUUUCAAUUCCAAUUUUGCUUUGGAUAUUGACAAAUUGCUUCCCAAAGUGGCUGAAUUAAUUUACACUCCUACCAGCAGUGUGUGAGAAUGGCUGUUUCUCUUUAUCUCCACUAACUCUUGAUACUGUCAGUCUUUUAACAUUUUACCAACUUGAUUAGUGUGAAAUGUUCUCUUGUUUACUUUAAAUCAUAUUUUCCUGAUGAUUAUGGAAGCUAAGUCUCUUUUCAUACAUGCAUUAGUAAUUUUCUUUUUCUUCUUCUGUGAAUGGCUUAUGCUAUUAUUCCAUCGUAAGGGUUAGCAACCUAUAGCCAAUUGGCCAAAUUCAGCCUGUGGACUGUUUUUCUAUUGCCCGCGAGCUAAGAAUAGUUUUUACAAAGGGUCAUAAAAGAAGAUGUGACAGAGAUUAUAUGUGUCCUGCCAAGCCUAAAACAUUUACUACUGG
rnacentral:lncRNA from 1 species